GACGAACGCUGGCGGCGUGCCUAAUACAUGCAAGUCGAGCGAGCUUGCCUAGAUGAAUUUGGUGCUUGCACCAAAUGAAACUAGAUACAAGCGAGCGGCGGACGGGUGAGUAACACGUGGGUAACCUGCCCAAGAGACUGGGAUAACACCUGGAAACAGAUGCUAAUACCGGAUAACAACACUAGACGCAUGUCUAGAGUUUAAAAGAUGGUUCUGCUAUCACUCUUGGAUGGACCUGCGGUGCAUUAGCUAGUUGGUAAGGUAACGGCUUACCAAGGCAAUGAUGCAUAGCCGAGUUGAGAGACUGAUCGGCCACAUUGGGACUGAGACACGGCCCAAACUCCUACGGGAGGCAGCAGUAGGGAAUCUUCCACAAUGGACGCAAGUCUGAUGGAGCAACGCCGCGUGAGUGAAGAAGGGUUUCGGCUCGUAAAGCUCUGUUGGUAGUGAAGAAAGAUAGAGGUAGUAACUGGCCUUUAUUUGACGGUAAUUACUUAGAAAGUCACGGCUAACUACGUGCCAGCAGCCGCGGUAAUACGUAGGUGGCAAGCGUUGUCCGGAUUUAUUGGGCGUAAAGCGAGUGCAGGCGGUUCAAUAAGUCUGAUGUGAAAGCCUUCGGCUCAACCGGAGAAUUGCAUCAGAAACUGUUGAACUUGAGUGCAGAAGAGGAGAGUGGAACUCCAUGUGUAGCGGUGGAAUGCGUAGAUAUAUGGAAGAACACCAGUGGCGAAGGCGGCUCUCUGGUCUGCAACUGACGCUGAGGCUCGAAAGCAUGGGUAGCGAACAGGAUUAGAUACCCUGGUAGUCCAAGGGCGAAUUCCACAGUGGAUAUCAAGCUUAUCGAUACCGUCGACCUCGAGGGGGAGGCCCGGUACCCAGCUUUUGUUCCUUUAGUAAGGGGUUAA
rnacentral:rRNA from 1 species